rnacentral:rRNA from 1 species
GUGGGAUGUCAGCUUCUGUUAUGCAGACAGCUUUCUGCCAGAGAGGUACGAAAUGACGGGUACCGUAAGAAUAAGGAUCGGCUAACUCCGUGCCAGCAGCCCCGGUAAUAUCGGAGGAUGCAAGCGUUAUCCGGAAUCACUGGGCGUAAAGCGUCCGUAGGCGGGUUGAUAUAGUCCAGUGGUGAAAUUUCCCAGCUCUACCUUCUAAAUUUGCACAUUGAUACUAUUAUUCUAGAGUGUCUUGAGAGGUGGAUAGAAUGUCCAGUGGAGCGGUGAAAUGCAUAGAUAUUGAUCAGAACACCGAUGGCGAAGGCAGAUCACUGGCAAAUCACUGACAGCCUCAGGGACGAAAGCUUGGGUAGCGAACGGGAUUAGAUACCCCCGGUAGUCCAAGCCGUAAACGAUGGUUACUAGAUGUUGUGGCACAUCUGGCGAUUUCAGUGGCUAAGCUAACAAGCAUAGUAUCCCGGCC